UAAAAACUAACACAUCAACCAAAGUGUUAUUAUUCAAAUAACUCCAAACUCAAAUAAUUCAAAUGAGAAUUAAAUUUUAACAUCUAAACAAUGUCCAAAAUAAAGUUGCACCAAAAUCCUAUCGAAGAAAAAAAUUCCUUGGCCUAGCCAUCACUCCUCGCCAGAAUUGAGAGUACCUAAAAAAUUAUCAACGAAGGAGAGUGAACUUAAAACUCAAUAAGGAACAUUAAUACAGUUUCGUGGAUCAAACAUUUUCAAUUACAAUUACAAAUCGGAGAUAUAACAUAUAAUUAUUUUCAUAAAAACUUUUGAGUUCAAAAUGCUAAUAUAAUCAAACUUUUUAAUAAAACUUUCUUAUAUCCAUUCAAAAACAAUUUCUCAUCAAAACCAAAUAAAAUACAUUCAAAAUAUCUUUACACUAGUUAUCAAAUAACAAAUUAUACCCAGUUAAGUGGAACUUUACAAAUGAGUAACUAGUUUCAAAUUUGUUCAAUUUAAGGUGAACAAAACCAAAAGUCAACAAUUAUAACCCGUUAACUAUAGUCAUAAGGUCAACUAUUAUAACCCAUUGACUAGGGCCAUAAGGUCAACUAUGGUAACCCGUUGACUAGGGCUAUAGAAACUAGAGUCAAACACUUCAUUUCAUUAAUUCAAACUUACAAAACAAAAUAUCAUAUCUCCACAAUUUUCAUUUUUCGUAAACCAAGAAAAUACUCAAACAUAUUUUUCAUACAAAAUACUAUAUAAAAAAAAAUUAUUUCUUUUACAAAAUUUGCAUUAAUUUCUUUUACCUUGAAGAAACACUCAAAAUCUUGAAGAAUUUACUCCUCACCUAACAUAAUAUCAUACAUAACAUUUAUUAUUGAUUAUUUAUCUAAAGAUAUAAAUUUAACAAUCCUAACAAUAUUUUAUAUAGUUUUUUUAGUAAUUCUAAUUAAUUUCAUAUGUUAACAUUAUUAGAGAUAAUAUUAUUUUCAACUUCAUAAACAAUAAUAAAUUAAUUUAGCAAGUUUCCAAAUUUUUAUAAAAUUCAUAUUCCUUCCUAAUUUUACCCUAACUAUUUAUUUCUUCAUAUACUUAAAUUAAAUUAAAACUUGUACCAAAAACUAUUAUUAUUAUUAUUAUUCCUAUCAUCCAACUGUCACUUAAUCACAAUUCCAUCAUUUCACCCAUUAUAUAUAUAUAUAUAUAUAUACACACACACAUUUAUUAUUAUUACUUUCAAUCACCUACAACACCAUUACUCCAAACCACUAACUACAUCUAUUAUUAUUAUUAUUUUAAUUUAUUCCACCCUCUAACUUACAAACCACCACUCUAUCGCCUCUCACGAUUUCCGUUUUUUUUUUCCACUCAAUAAUCUCACACCCCAAGUCUUCGUUCCUUUCUUUUUUUUUUUUUUCCAAUUGCCGCCCAACAUAGUUCAUGAAAUUCCAAAAUCCAGAAACAUGCAACUCUUCUUCUUUUUAUUAAUUUAAUUUACGUUUUUUUUUCAAUCUAAAGCCUCAACAAACGAUUUAUUUAUUUAUUUUCUAAAUCUAAAAUUUCCUAUUUUCAUCAAUAAAUUAAUCUGCAUUAAUAAAUUUCCAAUCUUUUCAUCUAAAAAAUUAAUUAAACAAACCCUAAUUUAGAUUGGGAUUUCUAAAGUAUUCAAAUCUAAUUAAUGAAUAUAAAAUACUAAUUCAAUGAUUAAAAUCUUACCUGAAAAAUUGAUCUUCAAACCCUAAACCUCAAAAUCUUCAUCACUUUGCU
rnacentral:lncRNA from 1 species